rnacentral:rRNA from 2 species
ACGGGAGGCAGCAGUGGGGAAUAUUGGGCAAUGGGCGAAAGCCUGACCCAGCGACGCCGCGUGAGCGAAGAAGGUCUUCGGAUUGUAAAGCUCUGUGUACAGGAACGAUAAUGACGGUACCUGUAUAGAAAGCCACGGCUAACUACGUGCCAGCAGCCGCGGUAAUACGUAGGUGGCAAGCGUUAUCCGGAUUUACUGGGUGUAAAGGGUGUGUAGGCGGGGGAGCAAGUCAGAUGUGAAAUCCAUGGGCUCAACUCAUGGACUGCGUCUGAAACUGUUCUUCUUGAGUGUCGGAGGGGUAAUCGGAAUUCCUGGUGUAGCGGUGAAAUGCGUAGAUAUCAGGAGGAACACCGGUGGCGAAGGCGGAUUACUGGACGACAACUGACGCUGAGACACGAAAGCGUGGGGAGCAAACAGGAUUAGAUACCCUGGUA